ensembl:lncRNA
UAUCAGAGGGCUCUAGAACAGUAGAGAGACAUCAGAGGGCACUAGAACAGUAGAGAGAUAUCAGAGGGCUCUAGAACAGUAGAGAGACAUCAGGGGGCUCUAGAACAGUAGCGAGAUAUCAGAAGGCUCUAGAACAGUAGAGAGAUAUCAGAGGGCUCUACAACAGUAGAGAGAUAUCAGAGGGCUCUAGAACAGUAGAGGGAUAUCAGAGGGCUCUAGAACAGUAGAGGGAUAUCAGAGGGCUCUAGAACAGUAGAGAGAUAUCAGAGGGCUCUAGAACAGUAGAGGGAUAUCAGAGGGCUCUAGAACAGUAGCGAGAUAUCAGAGGGCUCUAGAACAGUAGAGGGAUAUCAGAGGGCUCUAGAACAGUAGCGAGAUAUCAGAGGGCUCUAGAACAGUAGAGGGAUAUCAGAGGGCUCUAGAACAGUAGUGAGAUAUCAGAGGGCUCUAGAACAGUAGAGGGCUCUAGAACAGUAGAGAGAUAUCAGAGGGCUCUAGAACAGCAGCGAGAUAUCAGAGGGCUCUAGAACAGUAGCGAGAUAUCAGAGGGCUCUAGAACAGUAGCGAGAUAUCAGAGGGCUCUAGAACUGUAGCGAGAUAUCAGAGGACUCUAGAACAGUAGCGGGAUAUCAGAGGGCUCUAGAACAGUAGAGAGCUAUCAGAGGGCUCUAGAACAGUAGAGAGAUAUCAGAGGGCUAAGGAAUAAAGAACCUUAAGCAGCAAUAUCUCUAUUCCAACAACUCAGGAACCCUCUGAAUUUAAAGGUUAUAGUGUAAUUUGGAUGAACUAUCCCUUUAAGCAAACAGCAAACACAAAGUGAUAGCCUCCCUAUGUACAAGAGAGUCAUUGGAGGCUGGUCAAGGGAGGACGGCUCAUAAUAAUGGCUGGAAUGGAAUAGAUGGAACGGAGUCAAACACUGGGAAGAAACCAAGUCUAGAUGUGUUUGAUGCCUGUCUAUUCAUUCCAGCCAUUACUAUGAGUCCCUCCUCAGAUUCAAGGUGGCACCAGCCACCACUGAUAAGUGUACUGACUGAGACCUUUUAAAGAGGAGCAACUGACUGAGACCUUUUAAAGAGGAACAACUGACUGAGACCUUUUAAAGAGGAACAACUGACUGAGACCUUUUAAAGAGGAACAACUGACUGAGACCUUUUAAAGAGGAGCAACUGACUGAGACCUUUAAAGAGGAGCAACUGACCGAGAUCUUUAAAGAGGAGCAACUGACUGAGACCUUUUAAAGAGGAACAACUGACUGAGACCUUUUAAAGAGGAGCAACUGACUGAGACCUUUUAAAGAGGAACAACUGACUGAGACCUUUUAAAGAGGAGCAACUGACUGAGACCUUUUAAAGAGGAACAACUGACUGAGACCUUUUAAAGAGGAACAACUGACUGAGACCUUUUAAAGAGGAACAACUGACUGAGACCUUUUAAAGAGGAACAACUGACUGAGACCUUUUAAAGAGGAACAACUGACUGAGACCUUUUAAAGAGGAACAGCUGACUGAGACCUUUUAAAGAGGAGCAACUGACUGAGACCUUUUAAAGAGGAGCAACUGACCGAGAUCUUUAAAGAGGAACAACUGACUGAGACCUUUUAAAGAGGAACAACUGACUGAG